rnacentral:rRNA from 1 species
CCUACGGGGGGCUGCAGUGGGGAAUAUUGGACAAUGGGCGAAAGCCUGAUCCAGCCAUGCCGCGUGUGUGAAGAAGGUCUUCGGAUUGUAAAGCACUUUAAGUUGGGAGGAAGGGCAGUCAGUUAAUACCUUGCUGUCUUGACGUUACCAACAGAAUAAGCACCGGCUAACUUCGUGCCAGCAGCCGCGGUAAUACGAAGGGUGCAAGCGUUAAUCGGAAUUACUGGGCGUAAAGCGCGCGUAGGUGGUUCAGCAAGUUGGAUGUGAAAGCCCCGGGCUCAACCUGGGAACUGCAUCCAAAACUACUGAGCUAGAGUACGGUAGAGGGUGGUGGAAUUUCCUGUGUAGCGGUGAAAUGCGUAGAUAUAGGAAGGAACACCAGUGGCGAAGGCGACCACCUGGACUGAUACUGACACUGAGGUGCGAAAGCGUGGGGAGCAAACAGGAUUAGAUACCCCGGUAGUC